rnacentral:rRNA from 1 species
GAUGAACGCUAGCGGCAGGCCUAAUACAUGCAAGUCGAACGGUGUCUUCGGACAUAGUGGCGCACGGGUGCGUAACACGUAUGCAACCUACCUUACAUUGGGGGAUAGCCUUUCGAAAGGGAGAUUAAUACCGCAUAAGACAGUAGCUGGGCAUCCAGCAGCUGUUAAAGAUUUAUCGAUGUAAGAUGGGCAUGCGUCCAAUUAGUUAGUUGGCGAGGUAAUGGCUCACCAAGACUUUGAUUGGUAGGGGAACUGAGGGGUCAAUCCCCCACACUGGCACUGGGAUACGGGCCAGACUCCUACGGGAGGCAGCAGUAGGGAAUAUUGGGCAAUGGACGCAAGUCUGACCCAGCCAUGCCGUGUGCAGGAUGAAGGCGUUAUGCGUCGUAAACUGCUUUUAUACAGGGAGAAACGACUCUUGCGAGAGGCAUUGACGGUACUGUAUGAAUAAGCACCGGCUAACUCCGUGCCAGCAGCCGCCGUAA